CCUACGGGUGGCUGCAGUGGGGGAUAUUGCACAAUGGGGGGAACCCUGAUGCAGCGACGCCGCGUGGGUGAAGAAGCGCCUCGGCGCGUAAAGCCCUGUCAGCAGGGAAGAAAAUGACGGUACCUGAAGAAGAAGCCCCGGCUAACUACGUGCCAGCAGCCGCGGUAAUACGUAGGGGGCAAGCGUUAUCCGGAUUUACUGGGUGUAAAGGGGGCGCAGACGGCGAUGCAAGCCAGGAGUGAAAGCCCGGGGCCCAACCCCGGGACUGCUCUUGGAACGGCGUGGCUGGAGUGCAGGAGGGGCAGGCGGAAUUCCUGGUGUAGCGGUGAAAUGCAGAGAUAUCACGCAGAACCGCGAUUGCGAAGGCAGCAUGCCGGCUUCCGACUGACGCUGAAGCACGAAAGCGUGGGGAUCGAACAGGAUUAGAUACCCCUGUAGUC
rnacentral:rRNA from 1 species